UCUUAAUACAGGGCUUGUCCCUGGCCUGUUGGGAACCUUCGGGUUUCCGUUGAUUUGGAGAAAGCCAAAUGGCACUCAGCGUUGAAGAAAAAGCUCAGAUCGUUGCCGACUAUCAGCAAGCCGCC
rfam:Pseudomonas putida CSV86 contig00171, whole genome shotgun sequence.